rnacentral:rRNA from 1 species
AAAGGAGUUUUUUCUAGUACGAAAGGACCGAAAAAACAUGGCCUAUACUUUAUGCAAGCCAUAAUUAUUAACUUAUGAUAAAAUCUCAAUAAGUACUUAACCCAACACUAAACUCAAAAAAAGAGUA